AAAUCUGUUUGGGUCAGAUCCUCAUCUAGUUGUGUUAGAUACUUACCUAAAUGCUCAGAACUUUCAGUUUUUACAAAUCGACUGCAUCACUUAUUUUUUUAUUUGAGAGUGUGGUAGAUGUUGUUUUUUAAUAUAAU
rfam:Populus trichocarpa isolate Nisqually-1 chromosome 2, whole genome shotgun sequence.